rnacentral:rRNA from 1 species
ACGAACGCUGGCGGCGUGCCUAAUACAUGCAAGUUGAGCGCUGAAGGUUGGUACUUGUACCAACUGGAUGAGCAGCGAACGGGUGAGUAACGCGUGGGGAAUCUGCCUUUGAGCGGGGGACAACAUUAGGAAACGAAUGCUAAUACCGCAUAAAAACUUUAAACACAAGUUUUAAGUUUGAAAGAUGCAAUUGCAUCACUCAAAGAUGAUCCCGCGUUGUAUUAGCUAGUUGGUGAGGUAAAGGCUCACCAAGGCGAUGAUACAUAGCCGACCUGAGAGGGUGAUCGGCCACAUUGGGACUGAGACACGGCCCAAACUCCUACGGGAGGCAGCAGUAGGGAAUCUUCGGCAAUGGACGAAAGUCUGACCGAGCAACGCCGCGUGAGUGAAGAAGGUUUUCGGAUCGUAAAACUCGGUUGGUAGAGAAGAACGUUGGUGAGAGUGGAAAGCUCAUCAAGUGACGGUAACUACCCAGAAAGGGACGGCUAACUACGUG